UGGGGGUGUGGCGGUCGGGCGAGGGCAGCACCAGCUCGGGGCUGGUGACGGCUAUCGCGGUCGGCAUCCGCACACCCCCGGC
rnacentral:tRNA from 1 species